UAGCGGCGGACGGGUGAGUAACACGUGAGCAACCUGCCUUUAGCUGGGGAAUAACACUGGGAAACCAGUGCUAAUACCGCAUAAAAUCUUAAAGUGGCAUCACUAAUAAGAUCAAAGGAAUUUAUUCCGGCAAAAGAUGGGCUCGCGUCCGAUUAGAUAGUUGGUAGGGUAAAAGCCUACCAAGUCAACGAUCGGUAGCCGGACUGAGAGGUUGACCGGCCACAUUGGGACUGAGACACGGCCCAGACUCCUACGGGAGGCAGCAGUGGGGAAUAUUGGGCAAUGGGGGAAACCCUGACCCAGCAACGCCGCGUGAAGGAAGAAGGUCUUCGGAUUGUAAACUUCUUUGAUCAGGGACGAAGAAAUGACUGUACCUGAAGAACAAGUCACGGCUAACUACGUGCCAGCAGCCGCGGUAAUACGUAGGUGGCAAGCGUUAUCCGGAUUUACUGGGUGUAAAGGGCGUGUAGGCGGGUCUGUAAGUCAGAUGUGAAAUCUCCGGGCUUAACU
rnacentral:rRNA from 1 species